CACGUAGGGUGCGAGCGUUGUCCGGAAUUAUUGGGCGUAAAGGGCUCGUAGGCGGUGUGUCGCGUCGGCCGUGAAAACCUGCAGCUUAACUGUGGGCUUGCGGUCGAUACGGGCAUCACUGGAGUUCGGCAGGGGAGACUGGAAUUCCUGGUGUAGCGGUGAAAUGCGCAGAUAUCAGGAGGAACACCGGUGGCGAAGGCGGGUCUCUGGGCAAUAACUGACGCUGAGGAGCGAAAGCGUGGGGAGCGAACAGG
rnacentral:rRNA from 1 species